GCAUAAUCAUGGUCACGGUAAGCUGACUCGAUAUCUUUAUUUCUGAAUUCUGUUCAGUACACUGAAAAUAUCAGAGUCAGGACGGUGCUGGGUGAAACAUUGGAUUUGAAGCAGCAUUUUUUUGCAGUGAAGUAAGUACAAAUAACAGGCACAAGCUGCCAGAAAAACACAAUGCAAAGAUAUCUUGAAGGUGAAAUGAGGGGAAGAAGUGCCACAACUUUACAUGACAGGCAAAAUUACAAAAGUGUUGGCCCUGGAUGGACUGAAUUACCACAGCUCUAUCUAUGGUUGCCUGAAUAAUUAAAACAAAAGGAAAAACUUUAGGAUAAUAUAAGGAAAAAGAAAGUGUAAAAAUAAAAGGAAAGAAUAUAAAUAUAAAUAGAAACAUAAAUGAAAAAUUAAAACAAAAGGAAAGGAAAAACCAAGAAAAGAAAACAAAAAAGAUAAAUUUAAAUGAAAGGAAAAAAGAACAAAAACAAAAACAAAAAUAAAAACGGAAGGAAAACAACAAGAAAAUAAUAAUAGAAAAACG
rnacentral:lncRNA from 1 species